UGGCGAACGGGUGAGUAACACGUGGGUGAUCUGCCCUGCACUUCGGGAUAAGCCUGGGAAACUGGGUCUAAUACCGGAUAGGAGCCAUUUCUAGUGUGAUGGUUGGAAAGUUUUUUCGGUGUAGGAUGAGCUCGCGGCCUAUCAGCUUGUUGGUGGGGUAAUAGCCUACCAAGGCGGCGACGGGUAGCCGGCCUGAGAGGGUGGACGGCCACAUUGGGACUGAGAUACGGCCCAG
rnacentral:rRNA from 1 species